rnacentral:rRNA from 1 species
UACGGGGGGAGCAAGCGUUGUUCGGAUUUACUGGGCGUAAAGGGCGCGUAGGCGGUCAGCACAAGUCAGUUGUGAAAUCUCCGGGCUUAACUCGGAAAGGUCAACUGAUACUGUGCGACUAGAGUGCAUAAGGGGCAACUGGAAUUCUCGGUGUAGCGGUGAAAUGCGUAGAUAUCGAGAGGAACACCUGCGGCGAAGGCGGGUUGCUGGGCUGACACUGACGCUGAUGCGCGAAAGCCAGGGGAGCGAACGGG